rnacentral:rRNA from 1 species
UGGGGAAUAUUGGGCAAUGGGCGAAAGCCUGACCCAGCAACGCCGCGUGAAGGAAGAAGGUUUUCGGAUUGUAAACUUCUGUCCUCAGGGAAGAAGGAAGUGACGGUACCUGAGGAGGAAGCCCCGGCUAACUACGUGCCAGCAGCCGCGGUAAUACGUAGGGGGCAAGCGUUGUCCGGAAUUAUUGGGCGGAAAGGGCGCGUAGGCGGGCAUAUAAGUCUGAUGUGAAAGUGCGGGGCUUAACCCCGUAAAGCAUUGGAAACUGUAUGUCUUGAGGACAGGAGAGGAAAGUGGAAUUCCUAGUGUAGCGGUGAAAUGCGUAGAUAUUAGGAGGAACACCAGUGGCGAAGGCGACUUUCUGGACUGUAACUGACGCUGAGGCGCGAAAGCGUGGGGAGCGAACAGG